UACGUAGGGGGCAAGCGUUGUCCGGAAUCAUUGGGCGUAAAGCGCACGUAGGCGGCCCGGUAAGUCCGCUCUGAAAGUCAGAGGCUCAACCUCUGGAGGCGAGUGGAUACUGCCGGGCUAGAGUCCGGAAGAGGCGAGUGGAAUUCCUGGUGUAGCGGUGGAAUGCGCAGAUAUCAGGAAGAACACCUAUGGCGAAGGCAGCACGCUGGGACGGUAUUGACGCUAAGGCGCGAAAGCGUGGGGAGCAAACAGGG
rnacentral:rRNA from 1 species